AUUGAACGCUGGCGGCAGGCCUAACACAUGCAAGUCGAACGAGUGGCGGACGGGUGAGUAAGGUCUGGGAAACGGCCUGAUGGAGGGGGUUAACUACUGGAAACGGUAGCUAAUACCGCAUACCUUAGACUGUGCCCAGAUGGGAAUAGCUAGUUGGUGGGGUAAAGGCUCACCAAGGAGACGAUCCCUCGCGGGUCUGAGAGGAUGACCAGCCACACUGGAACUGAGACACGGUCCAGACUCCUACGGGAGGCAGCAGUGGGGAAUAUUGCACAAUGGGCGCAAGCCUGAUGCAGCCAUGCCGCGUGUAUGAAGAAGGCCUUCGGGUUGUAAAGUACUUUCAGCGGGGAGGCGUUACCCGCAGAAGAAGCACCGGCUAACUCCGUGCCAGCAGCCGCGGUAAUAC
rnacentral:rRNA from 1 species